GCCUGCGGUGCGCGUACUGACAGUGCGGCUGUGGUUUUUUGAACAUCCGUGUGGGAUGACAGCGCGAGUGAGGACGCCUGCUUGAAGCGAUUUGCAACAUUCCAUGUGUAUACGAUGUGAAACGCAUGGAUCACCGCGACACAGAGCGCAAGAAGAACGCGUGGGAAGCUAUACGAAAGCAGUGUGGUCUCGCCACAGGGCCUCUGCAGAUGAUGGGACAGCACUGGCUGCUUCCACCACGGGGGCGAGCAGCGUCACUAUGGGACCACUGUGCGUGGGCACGCAGGACUCCUCAGGCCUCUGUGACAAUGCCGCCACCUUCGUCACGUCGGCAUAGCUGCGUCGCGAAAGGUACGAUAGUCGCUUUCUGGCUUCAAAAAAUGAGAUUUUUUCUUUAACAGUUAGUGCAGUUACUUUUUUUUCUUUAUCCAGCAAGGGCAAGACCGCGAGUAAGUGGGAUGGUCUCCCUUGCAGUUAGCACAAAGUGGGGAAGAGGUACAAUCGUCAGUUUGGUGAUCGUUGGAGCUGCACUUAGCACAAGUUGUUCAUCCUCGACAUGCAUGCGAAGCAUGUCCGAACCUUUCACAUUUGAAAGAUCGUCUUGGGUUCGGCAUAUAUGGUCUAACAUUUACCUUCACAUAACCUGCAUCCAGCAAGGCAGGCAUUGCACUUGUUCCGAAGAUGGAAAGGGACGCUAAAGCAGUACCAUUCAUGGUGGAUCGAAAUACCUGCACCAAUGCAGAACUGGGCAACGUACUUCAGUCUGCAGCCCUGCUCAGCACAACAUGUGCAAAGAAUAAAUGUUUUUUUAGCACG